CUGGAGGUAUCAGAAGUGAGAAUGCAGGAAUAAGUAGCGAGAAAGGGGGCGAGAAUCCCCCUCGCCGGAAGACCAAGGUUUUCAGGGUAAAGCUUGUCUUCCCUGAGUAAGCCGGGACCUAAGCCGAGGCUAAAAUGCGUAGGCGAAUGGAAAACAGAUUAAUAUUUCUGUGCCAGUUAUAUUUUGUGAUGGAGGGACGCAGAAGGGUAUGUGCGCGGGAGAACGGAAGUUCCCGUAAAAGCAUGUAGAGUGGUCUAGUAGGAAAAUCCGCUAGAUUAGACUUGAGGUGUGAUAUAUAGUCGUAAGAUGAAUGCACAAAUCCCACGCUGCCGAGAAAAGCUUCUAACGUUAAGGUAUAACUGCCCGUACCCGAAACCGACACAGGUGGUCAGGAUGAGAAAUCUAAGGCGGACAGGCUAACUCUCGUUAAGGAACUCUGCAAAAUUGCCCCGUAACUUUGGGAGAAGGGGUGCCCCUGGAUGUUAAUAUUCAAGCAAUAUGAAGCAUUUGGGGGUCGCAGUGAAGAGGCUCAAGCAACUGUUUAACAAAAACACAGGUCUAUGCUAAGCUGUAAGGCGAUGUAUAUGGGCUGACACCUGCCCAGUGCCGGAAGGUUAAGAGGAGGAGUGAGAGCUCCGAAUUGAAGCCCCGGUGAACGGCGGCCGUAACUAUAACGGUCCUAAGGUAGCGAAAUUCCUUGUCGGGUAAGUUCCGACCUGCACGAAUGGUGUAAUGAUUUGAGCGCUGUCUUGACGGGAGGCCUGGUGAAAUUGUACUACCGGUGAAGAUACCGGUUACCUACAGUAGGACGGAAAGACCCCAUGGAGCUUUACUGUAGCUUGGUAUUGGGUUUUGGCAUUGCAUGUAUAGGAUAGUUGGGAAACUAUGAAGAUAUGGCGCUAGCUGUAUUGGAGUUGUCGGUGGAAUACCAACCAUUCAAUGUCGAAAUUCUAAUCUGUGGUUUGCAGCCACGGAAACAGUGCUAGGUGGGCAGUUUGACUGGGGCGGUCGCCUCCGAAAGAGUAACGGAGGCGUUCAAAGGUUCUCUCAGGUUGGAUGGAAAUCAACCGCAGAGUGCAAUGGCAUAAGAGAGCUUAACUGCGAGACUGACGGGUCGAGCAGGUGCGAAAGCAGGACAUAGUGAUCCGGCGAUUCCGAAUGGAAGGGUCGUCGCUCAACGGAUAAAAGCUACCCUGGGGAUAACAGGCUGAUUUUGCCCGAGAGUCCAUAUCGACGGCAAAGUUUGGCACCUCGAUGUCGGCUCAUCGCAUCCUGGGGCUGGAGAAGGUCCCAAGGGUUGGGCUGUUCGCCCAUUAAAGCGGUACGUGAGCUGGGUUCAGAACGUCGUGAGACAGUUCGGUCCCUAUCCACUGUAGGCGUUAGAAUAUUGAGAAGAUCUGUCCUUAGUACGAGAGGACCGGGAUGGACAAACCUCUGAUGUACCAGUUGUCACGCCAGUGGCACAGCUGGGUAGUCACGUUUGGAACGGAUAACCGCUGAAAGCAUCUAAGCGGGAAACCAGCUUCAAGAUAAGUAUUCUUUAAGACUCCUUCGAGACUAGAAGGUUGAUAGGUUGGGGGUGUAAGAGCUGCGAGGCUUUUAGCUGACCAAUACUAAUAAGUCAAAGUUUUAACCUAA
rnacentral:rRNA from 1 species